UGACCUGCCUCAGACUUUGAGCUCGCUUUCUAGCAUAAGCACCAUGUAUCUGCAAAACAACCAGUUUACAGGCACCAUUAAUGUCCUUGCUAAUCUGCCUCUGGAAACUCUGAAUGUGGGAAAUAAUCAUUUUACAGGUUGGAUACCAAAACAAUUGAAUAACAUAAACCUGCAGUAAGCAUUGUCAUUAGCGGCACUUUUUAUUUUGUUAUAAAUUCUAUAAAUCUUGAAAAUGGUCACAUUUAAUGACAGAAAGGAUGGUAAUGAUUGGAGCUCAGGACUGCACCCCCACCUCCUCCUGGGACACCUCCAGUAGUACCAAGAAAUCGAAAUCACAAAUAUGGGGGACAUACCCCAUCAGAUACUGGCUCAAGUGACGAUGAAGGCAAAAAAUCUGGUAUUGGAGGUGGUGGCAUUGCUGGAAUAGUAACCUCCAUCCUGGUUGUUGCGGCACUAGUGGCAUUCUUUCUGGUGAAGAAAAGAUCCAAAAAGUCGUCUAAUGAU